AAAAACUGAAAAUUAUUAGUUCCAAGUCUGGCUAGAAAUCUUUUUUUUUUUUUUUUUUUUUUUGGACAGAUUACCAAAUUAAAUAAGAAUUAUUGUUGUCUUGAAAACUUAUAUAUAGUUCAAAUUUGCUGUAAAGAUGUAAUUGCCCUACCAUUUUGUGCUUUUGAAGUUUUGGCCUUGACCAUGUGUUUGUUCCUGCUUUGCAUUUAUUGUGUAUGCAUUUUAGUAGUUGGUUAUUUGAAUGAAUUUUCUCAAAUCUACUCAGUCCAAGAUGUCGUAUGGAGGUUCUUUAGACAGCAUAAUCACAACCUGCUUUAUGAACAGAAGCUCCAAUAAGGUUGAAAUGCAGUUGCCAUUGCUCUUUGCCCUUCCAAUAAUCCUCUAAACAUGAGUAGCAUCUUAUCGGUGGUUAUAAAGGAAU